AGGUCAUCGUUGUGAGCCCGCUAUCAGCGGCCAGCGCGGGCACGGCCGGAGACCGUGGGGCCUGCAGUGGCCGCCCCCUCAGGAGCCACCAUGUUGGUGGCUUCCGGACUGAGCGAGGAAGAGGAGGCUCUGCAGAAGAAAUUCAACAAACUCAAGAAAAAGAAAAAGGCACUGCUGACUCUGAAGAAGCAAAGUAGCAGCAGCACAACCAGCCAAGGCGGUGUCAAACGCUCACUAUCAGAGCAGCCUGUCGUGGACACAGCCACAGCAACGGAGCAGGCAAAGCAGCUGGUGAAGUCAGGAGCCAUCAGUGCCAUCAAGGCUGAGACCAAGAACUCAGGCUUCAAGCGUUCUCGAACCCUUGAGGGGAAGUUAAAGGACCCCGAGAAGGGACCAGUCCCCACUUUCCAGCCGUUCCAGAGGAGCGUAUCUGCUGAUGAUGACCUGUGAGAGUCAUCCAGACGUCCCUAGAGGAAAUCUCUGUAUGAAAGCCUUGUGUCUUCUAGUGAUCGACUUUGAGAACUAGGGCCAGAUGGAGAAGAGGCAGAGGGCCCAGGGGCUGGUGAUGGUCCCCUCGAAGCUUUGACUGGGGCUCUGAAGAACGCAGUGGUGGCCACUCCUCAGCCUCCCCUCCCGAAGCCGCAACCAUGAGAGGAACCGGGACAGAGACCGAGAUCGAGAUAGAGACCGAGGGCAGGACAGGGAUCGGGAUCGGGAUCGGGAUCGAGAUCGAGACCGGGAACGGGACAGGGAUCGGGAUCAGGAUCGAGAUCGAGACCGGGAACCGGACAGGCAUUGGGAUCCGGAGCGGCAUUGAGACCGAGACCGAGAGGGUCCUUUCCGCAGGUCAGACUCAUUCCUUGAACCGCGAGCCCCUAGGAAAGGGAAUACUCUAUGUAUAUGGAGAAGACUUGAUGCCUGCCCUUCUCUGUGGGGCCUUCUCUCCUUUUGGAAACAUCAUUGACCUCUCCAUGGACUCACCCAGAAACUGUGCCUUCGUCACCUAUGAAAAGAUGGAGUCAGCAGAUCAGGCGGUUGCUGAGCUCAACGGGACCCUGGUGGAGUCUGUACAGCUCAAAGCCAACAUAGCCGGGAAACAGCCCAUGCUGGAUGCCGCUACUGACAAGUCUGUCUGGGGCUCCCUUGCUGUCCAGAACAGCCCUAAGGGUUGCCACCGGGACAGGAGGACCCAGAUUGUCUAGAGUGAUGACGUCUACAAGGAAAACCUUGUGGAUGGCUUCUAGGGAACAGAGCUGGAUUCCUUGUGCCUCAUAUGCCCCAAUGCUGGUCUCAGUAAAACACUGACGUGGAAGCUUAAAAAA